UUGAAGGCAUGGAGACUGAAUCCUCUCUGUGCAUAGAACAGGUGUGGCAGCCUCUCCAUUGUCCAACCAGCAUGCCUCAGUCCUAGCCAAAGGGGACAUGCUUAGAGUAACAGGUCUUUUCAGUCUCCAUGCCCUUCAAUCCUUGCUACU
rnacentral:sRNA from 1 species